ensembl:snoRNA SNORA74 Small nucleolar RNA SNORA74
CCCAGCUAUAGGCAACUGCCUAGGUCGUAUUGUAUCUAGGCAAGGGUUACACUGCUGGGAGAAAAGCAGCCAAUAACUGGCAGGCAUU